UACGUAGGGUGCAAGCGUUGUCCGGAAUUAUUGGGCGUAAAGAGCUCGUAGGCGGUCUGUCGCGUCGGAUGUGAAAAUCCAGGGCUCAACCCUGGACCUGCAUUCGAUACGGGCAGACUAGAGUUCGGCAGGGGAGACUGGAAUUCCUGGUGUAGCGGUGAAAUGCGCAGAUAUCCGGAGGAACACCGGUGGCGAAGGCGGCUUCCUGGACCGACACUGACGCUGAGGCGCGAAAGCUAGGGGAGCAACGGG
rnacentral:rRNA from 1 species